UUCAAGUGCAUCAUACAAUGUGAAUCUGUUGAAUCGUGUAUUUUCAGGCAAAACUCCAACGUAUCGAAUCUGCUGCGAGACUCUUGGUCGCAUUGGUUCCGGACUGGGCUAAACAAUGGACGAGAAAUAAGAUAUAAAAGGAUGAGAAGAAGAUUCGAAUCCCACAAAAAGUGUGGUUGUGAACUUACGAAGCUGUGCUUUCUGUGGAUCGACAUGUUGCGCCAGCUCUUGAUCAAGCAAAUAAAACCGGCACAGGAACACUAAGAGCAGCACCUCUCUUCGACAAGAUUAAACACUGGUGUCAUUUUUCUACAAAGAACGACCAAACACACACUGAACAUUCACAUUAUCCAUUCUGAAUAAAGGGAUAUUGACAUUCCAACACAUAACACGUCAUUUUUGUUAUGGCGGCAAACGCCGACAUACGAGGAAUGGCUCUCGUUUUCUCCCUUUGUUGGCUUCAAUCAUGUAAAGAGCCGCACUUGGAAUAAGCAAAAGUAUACAGACACAAUUUUAGCAGCUCCAUUCCACACGAAACUCUCCAGAGAUGAUCUAGAAGCAAUCUUUUUCUUCAUCAUAAUCAUCAUCAUCACCACCACUACUGCCGUCUCCACCACCAACACCACCAGUCCAUCCAUCAGCUAUCAGUUGCUCAGCUUCGGCCACCAGAGGAGGUAAAGCCGUCGAGUAACGAGCGAGAACGAGUAAUAUUCUCAGUUCACGGCAGUGCUCUUGCUCGUUUCUUUGCUUCCUAUUCACUGCCUUGGAGGGUUCGUUGGGCUGUGUCGGUUCUUCAAGUGUCUCUCCCCAGUCAGUCCAACUUGGGACCCACAAAGUAGAAGAGGGAACUAGCACAGAACAGAGCACCACAAGCGUUCCAUAGGUGGAUGGAGGGUACAGCUAAUAGUGGAAGUUCAAUUCUCAACAGCUGCCAUGGCUGCUACUGAGACCACAACCAAAAGCACCAUCAUGGACUCACAUGGGGCGUCGGGCGGGUGCUUCCUUCAGAGGAAACAUUCUGGCCAGGAAGCCCAAAAAUUAUGGUUUUCACAUCACCAUGCCUGCAUAAUGAAUAACCACUAAACUGGCCGUGAACUCUGGCGCCCAAAAAGUUCACUGAAGAGCUCCAUGCCGAUGUAGUAGAUUUUUGACGUGAUUUCGCCCGCUUGCUUGCUCGUAUUGCAAACUCGCUCUUCGCUCGCUCUUGGCUCCUCAUCAUCAGGACGGCUCGACCGUUCAUCUAUCCAUCCACCCACUAUGCACUAUCCUACAUACGUAGAGGUCUCGUUUUUUUCUCGAAGGUAAACACCAUCUUGGUUCGGCGAGCACUUGCUGAACCAUUUCCGCCCCAGUGGCCUGCCAAUGAUUUCUCACUCACAUUCUCUCAAAUCCUCGGUGAAAUCCUCUAGCGGGCGUGGUCAGAGCAUUAGAGAAGUUCAACUCCAUAUCUAUCCAUCCUACCACCAUUGUUCAGGAAGAGUUUGGACAUUUCCAGUCGAAGCGAGCAAUUGUGACAAGCUGACAACCAACAUAUUGAGCACGACAUCAAACAACAGAUGAAACCUUAGAUAAAAGCUCAUGGGCAAGAGAGCUGUUAGCUACAUGUUGCAUGUAAACUGCCAGGGGACUCUCGUGAUCUCAAUGAAUGAUCUUUUAAAUGAACUCUCGUCACGACCAAAUUAAUAACUCCAUUGAGUGGCGUCACGAAGUCAAAAGUUAUUUUGUGAUAGACCCAUGGCCAAAAGGUACUCUUGUAGAGCGACGACCUAAUUAGUUAGCAAUUAGCCUAUUGGAUGCCUGAUAAGACGAUUGAAUAGAACGUGAAAAAAGCCUGCCAUUUGUCAGACGACUGCAAAGUGCAACAAAAGGCUCCAAGGGAGAAACGGAAGUCACUCGAAGGGAUCUGUCCUUUAAAUACCAAGCGAUUAAGCAUUCAAAAUUUGUAAGGAGCAUGGGCAUGAGCGACAAUAUUUCGAGGAAUAAUCAAUGUUCAUUAAAUGUAGCCAUAGACAGCUUUACCGAUGAACACGACUUCAUGCUUCUGUGUGGUAGGCGGAAAUCAUACACUAAGGCCUUAAUACGUACGUACUUAAAUCAAGUGGGAAAUAAGUGUAUGAUUUGACAAUUCGUUCCGAGCUCCUAAACUGGUCCAAACCCAAAAUGGUCCUUGAACUUGACAAGAACAGAGUCAAGGUCAACAAAACAAAAUUUACACAAGAAAAAGGUUCAAUUAUGAUUUACAAGCAUCUUCCAAGCAUCUAUGUUUUGUUCCUAUGCCUUCAGGGCCUACACGGGAAGAAAAAGCUGUCUUUUUGCGCUAGUAACAUCCAACAUCCUCCACUGAGUAUCCGAAAUAAUUUCCGCCUAUGUAAUAUAUCCUUGAUG